GGUGUGCAAGAGGACACUUGUGCAAGGACGUUUGGGGGUGUGCAAGGCGAGUCACUUUUUCAAGGGGUGUGUAAAGGCAGAGGUGUGCAAGAAGACACUUGUGCAAGGACGUUUGGGGGUGUGUAAGGCAGAUCACUUACACAGGGGGUGUGUAAAGGCAGAGGUGUGCAAGAAGACACUUGUGCAAGGACAUUUAAGGUGUGCAAGGCAAGUCACUUUUACAAGGGGUGUGUAAAGGCAGAGGUGUGCAAGGUGGCUUGUGCGUGUGCAAGCCAGUUUGUGCGUGUGCAAGGCCGAGUGUGCAAGGGGUUUUGCACGAGGGCGGGCUCACAGGUUGGCGCUGAGAGGUAUCGGUGGUGCGGGAGGGUCCGAUUUUGGGGCAGUUUCGGGGUGGUUUGGUGCAAAGGCUUUGGGGGUGUGCAAGAGGACGCUUGUGCAAGGACGUUUGGGGGUGUGCAAGGUGAAUCACUUGCACAAGGGGCGUGUAAAGGCGGAGGUGUGCAAGAAGACACUUGUGCAAGGACAUUUAAGGUGUGCAAGGCAAGUCACUUUUACAAGGGGUGUGUAAGGGCAGAGGUGUGCAAGCCAGCAUUGUGCGUGUGCAAGGCCGAGUGUGCAAGGGGUUUUGCACGAGGAGGGGCUCACGGUUUGGCGCUGAGAGGUAUCGGUGGCGUGGGAGGGUCUGAUUUUGGGGCAGUUUCGGGGUGGUUUGGUGCAAAGGCUUUGGGGGUGUGCAAGAGGACACUUGUGCAAGGACGUUUGGGGGUGUGCAAGGCGAGUCACUUUUUCAAGGGGUGUGUAAAGGCAGAGGUGUGCAAGAAGACACUUGUGCAAGGACGUUUGGGGGUGUG
rnacentral:lncRNA from 1 species